rnacentral:piRNA from 1 species
UCCCAGGUCCGUCCUUCUCAGUCAUCUAGC